GCCGCACUCUCCUCCCUGCAGCUCGCUCCAUCUUCCUCCCUCCCAUGGUCGUGCCCUCGGCUCCCUCUGUUCAAGCCCCCAUCAGCCGCUCCAGUUCGCCAUGGCCACCGUCGCACAUGGCCAUGCCAAGCUGGCCGUCCCUGCUCCAUCCGAUAGCGCUGCUCUCUGCAUCUCCCAUGGUCGAGCUCACCGCGUCCCUGUGUUUGAGUCCGUCGACCUCCAGCUCGCCAGCCGCGCCCUCCCUGCUCGCCCAGCCCCUCUGCUCACUGGUUUCUCCCCACGCCAGCAGCAGCAAGCAGCCAUGGCACCUCCUUCCCCUGCUCGCCCUCCCUCUGUGCCCAGCCUCCUCUCUGUUCUUCCGUGGAGCAAUAGCCCUCCUCUAAUUCUGCAGCAGCAGCUCUCCCUUUUUUCAUUUGUUCUCCAUGAAUGAAAGCCCAAGCGCCAGCCCCCCUCCCUUUCGUCAAGUGAUUGGAAGAGAGUUCUAGGGAAAUCGAUGGAGACGAAACCGUGUUUCAGUUCGACGCGGUCUAGGUGUUUGAUGGAAUGGAUGAACCGGAGAUCCUUGUUGCUCUUGCGAAAUCCGAGUCUAUUUAGUGUUGGUACGUUAAUUGAUCACGUGAUGUGAAAGGCAAGGUUUGGAUUGAUCUCAAGAUAAUGCUGAUGGACGAAGCUAAAGUGGGUGAAUCAAACAAAUGCCAGGAUGAGAGAUGCUCACCAAGUGGUCUUCAUCUAACAACACUAACUUAGUGUUAUCCCAGGUUAUAAGUUUGUUCUGUUGUGGAUGGUGCUAAGUGCCGGUGGGCUCGGCCUCCUUAUAUAAGUAUAUCCCAUCUUUAGCUUCUUUAUUGAGGGUUGUCACUUAAGCUAGCAUGUAUUUUAAAACUUAUAAAUGUUUUAUACAUUUUAAAGUGUAAUUCUUUUGAAUCACUUUCUUCUGUAAUCACUCCGAUAAUUGUAUAAUGUAAACUUAUUGUAACAUAUAAUCAUUUUGCAAUAAAGAAUUUAUUUCCGCUGCAA